rnacentral:rRNA from 1 species
AGUGAACGCUGGCGGUAGGCCUAACACAUGCAAGUCGAACGGCAGCACAGGAGAGCUUGCUCUCUGGGUGGCGAGUGGCGGACGGGUGAGGAAUACAUCGGAAUCUGCCCAGUCGUGGGGGAUAACGUAGGGAAACUUACGCUAAUACCGCAUACGACCUUCGGGUGAAAGAGGGGGAUCGCAAGACCUCUCGCGAUCGGAUGAGCCGAUGUCGGAUUAGCUAGUUGGCGGGGUAAUGGCCCACCAAGGCGACGAUCCGUAGCUGGUCUGAGAGGAUGAUCAGCCACACUGGAACUGAGACACGGUCCAGACUCCUACGGGAGGCAGCAGUGGGGAAUAUUGGACAAUGGGCGCAAGCCUGAUCCAGCCAUACCGCGUGGGUGAAGAAGGCCUUCGGGUUGUAAAGCCCUUUUGUUGGGAAAGAAAUCUUUCAGGCUAAUACCCUGGGAGGAUGACGGUACCCAAAGAAUAAGCACCGGCUAACUUCGUG